AGCGAACGCUGGCGGCAGGCCUAACACAUGCAAGUCGAACGAACCCUUCGGGGUUAGUGGCGGACGGGUGAGUAACACGUGGGAACGUGCCUUUAGGUUCGGAAUAACUCAGGGAAACUUGUGCUAAUACCGAAUGUGCCCUUCGGGGGAAAGAUUUAUCGCCUUUAGAGCGGCCCGCGUCUGAUUAGCUAGUUGGUGAGGUAAUGGCUCACCAAGGCUACGAUCCGUAGCUGGUCUGAGAGGAUGACCAGCCACAUUGGGACUGAGACACGGCCCAAACUCCUACGGGAGGCAGCAGUGGGGAAUCUUGCGCAUUGGGCGAAAGCCUGACGCAGCCAUGCCGCGUGGAUGAUGAAGGUCCUAGGAUUGUAAAAUCCUUUCACCGGUGAAGAUAAUGACUGUAGCCGGAGAAGAAGCCCCGGCUAACUUCGUGCCAGCCGCCGCGGUAAUAC
rnacentral:rRNA from 1 species